GACGAACGCUGGCGGCAGGCCUAACACAUGCAAGUCGAACGCCGUAGCAAUACGGAGUGGCAGACGGGUGAGUAACGCGUGGGAACAUACCCUCCGGUUCGGAAUAACUCAGGGAAACUUGAGCUAAUACCGGAUACGUCCAAGGUUUUAAUCGGCCUUGGAGAAAGAUUUAUCGCUGGAGGAUUGGCCCGCGUCUGAUUAGCUUGUUGGUGAGGUAAUGGCUCACCAAGGCGACGAUCAGUAGCUGGUCUGAGAGGAUGAUCAGCCACAUUGGGACUGAGACACGGCCCAAACUCCUACGGGAGGCAGCAGUGGGGAAUAUUGGACAAUGGGCGAAAGCCUGAUCCAGCCAUGCCGCGUGAGUGAAGAAGGCCUGCGGGUUGUAAAGCACUUUCAGUCGGGAGGGAACGAGGGGUUGGCGGAACAGCCGGGCCCGCCUCGACGUAACCGACAGAAGAAGCACCGG
rnacentral:rRNA from 1 species